CCUGAUAUCGGUACAUCCGCUGGCCACGGAUGAUCCAGUGCCGGUCUCAGGAUAACAAUUUCAUAACAUCAGCUGCAUACUGGAUAAGGAAGCUGCAAUCCCGGAAUGGAGAUAACUCCAUCAGGACUGCGGUUGGUUUCGUAUUGCCUUUUUGCAGCUGGCCA
ncrna:unclassified sequences DTF2800 RNA